GCUGCACCUGCUCGGAGGAAGAGGAUAUUCUUCCUCUUCUGGGUCUUACAAUGUUGCCCCACGAGUUAGCUUAGGCCUUGCUAGCAGUCUUCUCCCUCCUUGAGUCCUGGCCUGGUACCCUACUCCCAUUUCUUCUCUUUUCUAGGGAAUUCAUCUUUGCCAAGGCUGUUGAGGUUGGGGUGGGGAGUGAAAAAUUAUUUUGUCUUUAUUAUACCCUCUAGAUGAACCUCUUCUCUUUAAACUCCCCAUUCUAGAGUAUGCCCUGGGGCUCAUCUGAAAAUCAAAAAACCAUCUGCCAUCUGCUCUGAGUUUCAGAUUGAAUUCCUAGGCAUGCCUCAAGGUUAAAAGACCUCUGUUUCCAUUGCUCUCCAACAACUUCUAAGGUUAAUGUCCCUUAAAAGCUCCAUUUUCCAUCAAC
rnacentral:lncRNA from 1 species